UCUUUCCCGCUCUUUGUCGCCCUGUCGGAAGAACUCCUCCAUGAUUCUCUCCGUCCACUGUCGGUACAACGGCAGCGUCUUGGUGGGGUUGCUCAGGUCGGCGCAGUGAACCAUGUUUCUCAACACCUACACAGUGAUGUGGCCCCCCAGAUGGUGGCAGUAGAGACCCUCAGAGCUGAAAUAAUCACUUCUCUGUAGUGACAUCGAAGGAGCGCAGGAACAUCUGUGUCCACUGCACAGUGGUCCAGCAGCAGCACUCCGGAGCUCGUCACCUUCUUCGUCUCCACCAUGGUCUUCAGAUCGCCCAGCAGAGUCAUGUGUUUGGACAUGUCCGUGGCCAAGACCUGCACAGAGAGGACGGAAAGUUCUAGAGAAACCAGGCGUAGCUCAACAGACCGGUUCGUCGACGUCCCCCGUCUCCCACACUCACCAUGUCGAUGACGAGCUUGCGGAGACUCUGCCGCUGUCUUUUGGUGAGGUUCUGGAAAAUGUCACAGUUUUCCUGGUGGAGGAGUUUGAAGCCCACCGCCAGGUGAUGGUUCUCCAGAACCGACUCGUCGUUGUACAUGAGCGCCAGCUCCGAGUCUGAGGAGGA